rnacentral:rRNA from 1 species
GACGAACGCUGGCGGCGUGCUUAACACAUGCAAGUCGAACGCUGAAGCCCAGCUUGCUGGGUGGAUGAGUGGCGAACGGGUGAGUAACACGUGAGUAACCUGCCCCCUUCUUUGGGAUAACGCCCGGAAACGGGUGCUAAUACUGGAUAUUCACUGGCCUUCGCAUGGGGGUUGGUGGAAAGGUUUUUUCUGGUGGGGGAUGGGCUCGCGGCCUAUCAGCUUGUUGGUGGGGUGAUGGCCUACCAAGGCUUUGACGGGUAGCCGGCCUGAGAGGGUGACUGGUCACAUUGGGACUGAGAUACGGCCCAGACUCCUACGGGAGGCAGCAGUGGGGAAUAUUGCACAAUGGGCGAAAGCCUGAUGCAGCGACGCCGCGUGAGGGAUGACGGCCUUCGGGUUGUAAACCUCUUUCGCUCAUGGUCAAGCCGCAACACUUGGUUGUGGUGAGGGUAGUGGGUAAAGAAGCGCCGGCUAACUACGUGCCAGCAGCCGCGGUAAUACGUAGGGCGCGAGCGUUGUCCGGAAUUAUUGGGCGUAAAGGGCUUGUAGGCGGUUGGUCGCGUCUGCCGUGAAAUCCUCUGGCUUAACUGGGGGCGUGCGGUGGGUACGGGCUGACUUGAGUGCGGUAGGGGAGACUGGAACUCCUGGUGUAGCGGUGGAAUGCGCAGAUAUCAGGAAGAACACCGGUGGCGAAGGCGGGUCUCUGGGCCGUUACUGACGCUGAGGAGCGAAAGCGUGGGGAGCGAACAGG